ACGACCAUAAAGAAGCCGUCGAGAGAUAUCGGAAGAGUUUUCUUUUCUGUUUUAUAGUCGUACUACCAUGGAAGUCUUUCGCAGAGAGAUAUGGUAGAUGGGCUAGAAGAGCAUGACAUAUACUGUUGUGUCGAUAUUUUCUCCUCGGACCUUGAAAAUUUAUGGUGGGGAUACGCAAACUUCUCAACAGGCCGUACCAAUAUCCGCAGCUGGUCUCCAAGGUGAAGAGUCUCUAGUCGAUAGAAUAAUGUAGGUAAGGGAAGUCGGCAAAUUAGAUCCGUAACUUCGGGAUAAGGAUUGGCUCUGAAGAUUGAGAUAGUCGGGCUUGAUUGGGAAACAAUAAUAUGGUUUAUGUGCUCGUUCUGGGUAAAUAGAGUUUCGAUCAUUUAUGGUUGUAACUUGUUCCCCGGAUAGUUAGUUACGUAUCCAAUUGUGGAACUUUCUUGCUAAAAUUUUUAAGAAUACUAGUUGGGUCAAACCAAUUAGUUCUUAUUAAUUAUAACGAUUAUCAAUUAACAAUCAAUUCAGAACUGGCACGGACUUGGGGAAUCCGACUGUCUAAUUAAAACAAAGCAUUGUGAUGGCCCUAGCGGGUGUUGACACAAUGUGAUUUCUGCCCAGUGCUCUGAAUGUCAAAGUGAAGAAAUUCAAGUAAGCGCGGGUCAACGGCGGGAGUAACUAUGACUCUCUUAAGGUAGCCAAAUGCCUCGUCAUCUAAUUAGUGACGCGCAUGAAUGGAUUAACGAGAUUCCUACUGUCCCUAUCUACUAUCUAGCGAAACCACAGCCAAGGGAACGGGCUUGGAAUAAUUAGCGGGGAAAGAAGACCCUUUUGAGCUUGACUCUAAUCUGGCAGUGUAAGGAGACAUAAGAGGUGUAGAAUAAGUGGGAGAUAUUAGACUUCGGUUUGGUAUCGCCAAUGAAAUACCACUACUCUUAUUGUUUCCUUACUUACUUGAUUAAAUGGAACGUGUAUCAUUUCCUAGCCAUUAUACGGAUAUAUUUAUUAUAUCUUAUGGUAUUGGGUUUUGAUGCAAGCUUCUUGAUCAAAGUAUCACGAGUUUGUUAUAUAAUCGCAAACAAAUUCUUUAAUGAGAGAUGCAUUUACUGUAUUAUUGAUUUGAAAAUUUGGUAUAACUCCAAUUACUCAGGUAUGAUCCAAUUCAAGGACAUUGCCAGGUAGGGAGUUUGACUGGGGCGGUACAUCUCUCAAAUAAUAACGGAGGUGUCCCAAGGCCAGCUCAGUGCGGACAGAAACCACACAUAGAGCAAAAGGGCAAAUGCUGACUUGA
rnacentral:rRNA from 1 species